rnacentral:tRNA from 1 species
GUCCAGGGGCGGGAAUCGAACCCACAACCUUCUGCUUACCGGGCAGGUGCCAUGUCCACUAAGCUACCCUGGA